rnacentral:rRNA from 1 species
UGCCAGCCGCCGCGGUAAUACGGAGGGUGCAAGCGUUAUCCGGAAUCACUGGGUUUAAAGGGUGCGCAGGCGGCCAUAUAAGUCAGGAGUGAAAGCUCGGCGCUCAACGUCGGAACUGCUCUUGAUACUGUGUGGCUUGAGUCGAGAUGAGGUAGGCGGAAUGUGACAUGUAGCGGUGAAAUGCAUAGAUAUGUCAUAGAACACCGAUUGCGAAGGCAGCCUACUGGCCUCGUACUGACGCUGAGGCACUAAAGCGUGGGGAGCGAACAGGAUUAGAUA